rnacentral:misc_RNA from 1 species
CUGUGCCUGUGCCUGUGCCUGUGGUAGGGGUAGUAGUGCCUGUCCCAGUAUUGCUGUAAAUAAAAGAGAAAACCACAGCUAUUAAUCAUACAAGAAAAUUAUCCUCCACCGUAUGAUCAAAAUACUUUUGUCAGGAUUCAGGACAUGUGUAGAUUAACUUUCUGAAAAUAUAAGAUAUGGAAUAAAAAAUGAGACAUUGUGGAAAACAGAUGUCGUCAAGUUGAGAUCA